rnacentral:rRNA from 1 species
UACGUAGGGGCAAGCGUUAUCCGGAUUUACUGGGUGUAAAGGGAGCGCAGACGGAACUGCAAGUCUGAUGUGAAAGCCCGGGGCUCAACCGCGGGACUGCAUCGGAUACUGUAGAUCUGGAGUGCCGGAGGGGCAAGCGGAAUUCCUGGUGUAGCGGUGAAAUGCGUAGAUAUCAGGAGGAACACCGGCGGCGAAGGCGACUUGCUGGACGGCAACUGACGUUGAGGCUCGAAAGCGUGGGGAGCAAACAGGAUUAGAUACCCU